UGGGGAAUAUUGCGCAAUGGGCGAAAGCCUGACGCAGCGACGCCGCGUGGGUGAUGAAGGCCUUCGGGUCGUAAAGCCCUGUCGGGAGGGACGAAACCUCGGUGACCUAAUACGUCACCGACCUGACGGUACCUCUUAAGGAAGCACCGGCUAACUCCGUGCCAGCAGCCGCGGUAAUACGAAGGGUGCAAGCGUUACUCGGAAUUACUGGGCGUAAAGCGUGCGUAGGUGGUUGUUUAAGUCUGAUGUGAAAGCCCUGGGCUCAACCUGGGAAUGGCAUUGGAAACUGGGCAGCUAGAGUGCGGUAGAGGGUAGUGGAAUUCCCGGUGUAGCAGUGAAAUGCGUAGAGAUCGGGAGGAACAUCUGUGGCGAAGGCGACUGCCUGGACCAGCACUGACACUGAGGCACGAAAGCGUGGGGAGCAAACA
rnacentral:rRNA from 1 species